CCUACGGGAGGCAGCAGUGGGGAAUAUUGGACAAUGGGGGGAACCCUGAUCCAGCCAUGCCGCGUGUGUGAAGAAGGCCCUCGGGUUGUAAAGCACUUUCAGUGAGGAAGAACGCCUGGUGGUUAAUACCCAUCAGGAAAGACAUCACUCACAGAAGAAGCACCGGCUAACUCCGAGCCAGCAGCCGCGGUAAUACGGAGGGUGCGAGCGUUAAUCGGAAUUACUGGGCGUAAAGCGCGCGUAGGUGGCUUGAUAAGCCGGUUGUGAAAGCCCCGGGCUCAACCUGGGAACGGCAUCCGGAACUGUCAAGCUAGAGUGCAGGAGAGGAAGGUAGAAUUCCCGGUGUAGCGGUGAAAUGCGUAGAGAUCGGGAGGAAUACCAGUGGCGAAGGCGGCCUUCUGGACUGACACUGACACUGAGGUGCGAAAGCGUGGGUAGCAAACAGGAUUAGAUACCCCUGUAGUC
rnacentral:rRNA from 1 species